rnacentral:misc_RNA from 1 species
GGCAAAAGUAGAAAGUGAUGACAAGAAUAAUUUCUGUAAGUGUCUUAACAGUUUGAUGGAUUACUGAUUCUGAGAAAGAUUUUUGCAAAAGAGGAUUUCUCAUUACUUCUUUUAAAGUUCAUUGGAGUGCGAGCUUGAAGAUUUUCACUACUUCUUCCCCUCUCUACUUAUAAUUUCCUGGUUGAUGAGGACCUUAGCAUAGACGAAAAUAGUACAAAGAGAAAAAGUUAUUUAAAAC